rnacentral:rRNA from 1 species
CCUACGGGGCGCUGCAGUGAGGCAUAUUGGUCAAUGGGCGCGAGCCUGAACCAGCCAAGUAGCGUGAAGGAUGACUGCCCUACGGGUUGUAAACUUCUUUUAUAAAGGAAUAAAGUGAGGCACGUGUGCCUUUUUGUAUGUACUUUAUGAAUAAGGAUCGGCUAACUCCGUGCCAGCAGCCGCGGUAAUACGGAGGAUCCGAGCGUUAUCCGGAUUUCUUGGGUUUAAAGGGAGCGUAGAUGGGUUGUUAAGUCAGUUGUGAAAGUUUGCGGCUCAACCGUAAAAUUGCAAUUGAUACUGGCAGUCUUGAGUACAGUUGAGGUAGGCGGAAUUCGUGGUGUAGCGGUGAAAUGCUUAGAUAUCACGAAGAACCCCGAUUGCGAAGGCAGCUUACUAAACUGUGACUGACAUUGAUGCUCGAAAGUGUGGGUAUCAAACAGGAUUAGAUACCCUAGUAGUC